UUUCCCUGUCUCAGCCCUCGCCGGAGAGAAGCGAGGUGCAGAAUCGAAGACAACGGUCGUUCCCGCCCCCGUUCGCGUUUCGCCGCCGAUCCUCCUGAGAAUGAGAAGCCGGCUCCAUCCGACGGCGGCGAGAGGAAUAAAUCCGCGAGAAAAUUCACCUUCAGAGAUCUCGCCACGGCCACUCACAACUUUAGGGAGUC